AUUGAACGCUGGCGGCAGGCUUAACACAUGCAAGUCGAGCGGGGACUUCGGUCCUAGCGGCGAACGGGUGAGGAAUGCUUGGGAAUCUGCCUUGUAGUGGGGGAUAACGUUUCGAAAGGAACGCUAAUACCGCAUACGUCCUACGGGAGAAAGGGGGGGAUCUUCGGACCUCUCGCUAUAAGAUGAGCCCAAGUCGGAUUAGCUAGUUGGUGGGGUAAAGGCUCACCAAGGCGACGAUCCGUAGCUGGUCUGAGAGGAUGAUCAGCCACACUGGAACUGAGACACGGUCCAGACUCCUACGGGAGGCAGCAGUGGGGAAUAUUGGACAAUGGGCGAAAGCCUGAUCCAGCCAUGCCGCGUGUGUGAAGAAGGCCUUCGGGUUGUAAAGCACUUUAAGCGAGGAGGAAUGGCUCUGGGUUAAUACCCUUGAGCAGUGACGUUACUCGCAGAAUAAGCACCGGCUAACUCUGUGCCAGCAGCCGCGGUAA
rnacentral:rRNA from 1 species